rnacentral:snRNA from 1 species
ACAUCUUUCUGGGCCUUUUGUCUAAGAUUAAGUGUAGUAUCUUUUCUUUUAAGUUUAAUAUCUGAUAAUAUCCUCUAACUGCAAGAUCACAGCCUUGGAAACCCUACGGGGUAGUUGUACUCUGUUCUGUAGAGUACUACGA